rnacentral:rRNA from 1 species
AGAGUUUGAUCAUGGCUCAGAAUCAACGCUGGCGGCGGCUUAACACAUGCAAGUCGCACGAGAAAGUGGAGCAAUCCAUGAGUACAGUGGCGUACGGGUGAGUAACACGUGGAUCAUCUACCUCUUGGUGGGGAAUAACCCUGGGAAACCGGGGCUAAUACCGCAUAAGCCUGCAAAGGGAAAGCAGCAAUGCGCCGAGAGAGGAGUCCGCGGCCGAUUAGCUGGUUGGUAGGGUAAUGGCCUACCAAGGCAAUGAUCGGUAGCCGGCCUGAGAGGGCACACGGCCACACUGGCACUGAAACACGGGCCAGACUCCUACGGGAGGCAGCAGUGGGGAAUCUUGCACAAUGGGGGAAACCCUGAUGCAGCGACGCCGCGUGAGCGAUGAAGCCCUUCGGGGUGUAAAGCUCUUUCGGCAGGAACGAUAAUGACGGUACCUGCAGAAGAAGCUGCGGCUAACUACGUGCCAGCAGCCGCGGUAAUACGUAGGCAGCAAGCGUUGUUCGGAAUUACUGGGCGUAAAGAGUGUGUAGGCGGUUCUCUAAGUUCCGUGUGAAAUCUCCCGGCUUAACUGGGAGGGUGCGCGGAAGACUGGAGGGCUGGAGUAUGGGAGAGGAAAGCGGAAUUCCUGGUGUAGCGGUGAAAUGCGUAGAUAUCAGGAGGAACACCUGCGGUGUAGACAGCUUUCUGGACCAUCACUGACGCUGAGACACGAAAGCGUGGGUAGCAAACAGGAUUAGAUACCCUAGUAGUCC